UUAGCCUCCCAACUAUUUCUAGGUUACCCGCUUCUUUUUCCCCAAAAUAUUUUGAGGUUUUAUUUCCCUCUCGAAUGUAGCCGCCUCCAAUCUCCCACCUUUUCUUCUUCAACAUUUUCGGCUUCAAUCUCAACUGCAAUCGACAUCACCAUCACCAGUUUAGCUUCCUCCACCAGUCGACCUUCCUGUCUCCUCGUCUGCACUCCAAAAUUUCAUUCUUGUUUCACCCAAUUUUUCAUUCCCGCUUUGUUUGCUAUUCAUUCCCGCUAUGUCAAAUUUUGUUCCCCCCAUAUACCUCAAACCAUUUUUCAUUUGAAAACGGAACCUAUACUCCGAAGUAUCUUCUCAACCCAAAACACAACGCACUGCUUCUCCCUAGAUCUUCCGUCCUUCGUAGCUUGGCCCUGGAUUCCUUCAUCCGCUUCAUGUUAUUCAUCACUACGACGCCUAGUCGGUCAAUUGGAAACAAGAUGUUUCCUGAUUAGUAAACUCAAGUUGUUUAUGUGAUUAAUAAAAAGAUUUUGGAUUAGUUUACUUUUCUUGCCCAUUAUUGACACAAAACAUUCAUCCAUAGCAGAGGAUGUAACACUCAAUUUUGAAUUUAUUUUGUAAGUGUUUGUUUUCCUUGCUAUGCAGGUAUCUUUGAAAGCCAAAAUUUUUCCUUUAUUCAAACCCAUUUCAUUAGUCAAAAGCUACCAUAUUCCUAAUGGGCUAAGUUUAUUUUUGGUUUCUCAUCUGUUAAUGUUAUAUGUAAAAAUGUUGUAUCCAGUGAACAUUGGAGAUGGAGCAUGCACUAUUUGGAUUAUGUCUAUAUAACAGAACAGGUGAAGAAAAUGAAGCUCUACAAUAGGUGUAAACGUUUGUAAUCGUGCACCUCAAACACGUUAAAUGGAUCUGGAAGUAGAAGGUGUAAAAGUUUGGCUGUAGAAGAUGGUUACUGUUAGGAAAUAUGCUAAUACCAAAUCACUUAGAUGCAUGGAAUUUUGCAGUAGUGCAUUGGAGUGAAAGUGAAGGUAUUUGUAUAUCAUUUAGAUGUUAAUUCUUGUUUGUGAUUAGUAUAGUAGUUGACUUGUGUAAUAGUUACUGGUUGGUUGCCAUUCAUGAAGCUUUUUGGUGUUGUAAAUAGCAGCAUAUUUUUCAGUUUGACGAAAUUUUUUAUUUUGUUGUAUAGAUGAUAUUUAUUCUAAUAUUUAUUUUUGGAAAAUGAUGUUUUUUUAAUGUGUUAAGCA